UACGAAGGGGGGCUAGCGUUGUUCGGAAUCACUGGGCGUAAAGCGCACGUAGGCGGAUCUUUAAGUCAGGGGUGAAAUCCCGAGGCUCAACCUCGGAACUGCCUUUGAUACUGGGGAUCUCGAGUCCGGGAGAGGUGAGUGGAACUGCGAGUGUAGAGGUGAAAUUCGUAGAUAUUCGCAAGAACACCAGUGGCGAAGGCGGCCUGCUGGGCCGUGGGAUCGCAAGGUCCCGGAGCUGACACUGAGGCGCGACAGCGUGGGGAGCAAACAGG
rnacentral:rRNA from 1 species